UACGGGGGGGCAAGCGUUGUUCGGAAUUACUGGCGUAAGGGCUCGUAGGCGGCCAACUAAGUCAGACGUGAAAUCCCCAGGCUCAACCUGGGAACUGCGUCUGAUACUGGAUGGCUUGAAUCCGGGAGAGGGAUGUGGAAUUCCAGGUGUAGCGGUGAAAUGCGUAGAUAUCUGGAGAACACCGGUGGCGAAGGCGGCAUCCUGGACCGGUAUUGACGCUGAGGCGCGAAAGCCAGGGGAGCAAACGGG
rnacentral:rRNA from 1 species